ACUAUUGAAUUUCAAGAAUUUGGUGUUAAAAUGGAUUAUUAUUUCAUUUGGAGAAUUUAGUGUUCUCUUAACUAGACGUGAUGUAAAUAUAUAAAAGAGAUUAUUGUAAUACCAUAUUUUUUCCUCCAACUUGCCAAGUAUAACAUUCUAAUAUUUUUUGGGAACGGACUUUGAAAUAAGGAGGCGAAAUUAGAUUUGUGAGCGAAAUAAAAUAACCAAAUGUUCAACCCAUACACAAAAAAAAGAAAAGAAAAUGUUUAUGGAGAGGUCUGAAUUGGAACAUUCAGUCGUUUAGAUAAAUUCAUCUUAUUCAGUGGCACUGGAGCAUUGAGAGGACUAAAUUACCAUUUCGUUCAAUUAACGUUCAGUGGUUAAGAUAAUUUAUCUUCUUCUACUUUUCUUGACAAAAUAUACCAAUGCUUGGUAACUUUAUAACUGCUACUUUUCCUUGUGGACAUAGUGCAUAUCAAUACCCUUUAUUGAUAAGCGAAACCACAUUUCAGUGGAACAUCGGUACCAAAAGUACCAAAAUUUGGUCACUUUCCUAUUGAUUAGAAUUUUAUGAAAAGACUUCUAUAUUGAUUCGGAUAUUAGAAUUUUAUAGUUCUUAUUAUACUAUUAUCAAAACACUUCUAUAUUGAAUAUAAUUUUAUUAUUAAAGACCUCAAUAUUCAUUAGGACAGUGAAACACUUUUAUAUUGAUUAGAAUUUUAUGAAAAGACUUCUAUAUUGAUUCGGAUAUUAGAAUUUUAUAGUUAUUAUUAUACUAUUAUCAAAACACUUCUAUAUUGAAUAUAAUUUUAUUAUUAAAGACCUCAAUAUUCAUUAGGACAGUGAAACACUUUUAUAUUGACUAGAAUUUUAUGAAAAGACUUCUAUAUUGAUUCGGAUAUUGGAAUUUUAUAGUUAUUAUUAUACUAUUAUCAAAAGACUUCUAUAUUGAAUAUAAUUUUAUUAUUAAAGACCUUAAUAUUAAUUAGGACAGUGAAAGACUUAUAUAUAUAUUGAUUAGAAUUUUAUGAAAAGACUUCUAUAUUGAUUCGGAUUUUAUUAUUAAAAAUUUCAAUAUUGGUUAAGAUUAUUAUACUACUAUAUAAAAAGACUUUUAUGGUGAUUAGGAUUUUGUAAUAUAACAUUUAUUCUAUCCGCACAGUUAAAUCGCCAACAAUUUAACUUAUGAAACAGUUCUAUAAAAUUCAUAUCAAAAUUUGGCUAUCAUCAUAUUAUUUUUUAUUUAACAAUUAUUACUAUUAUCAAAAAACCUCUAUAUUUGACAGGAUUUUGUAUUAUAACAAUGAUCUCACUAAUAAAAAUAUAUUACCAACAAAAUUAUUUGUUUUAAUUAUUUAAAACUCACAUAAUUUAAUAUACGGAACAACUUUAUAAAUCUUUUAGCAUGCUUCAGAGUUCAAAUAAAUAAGGAAUUCAUAUUGAUAUUAAUAUAAUAUCUUAUCAAUAGAAUAAUAAUGUCAACGAAAUUAUUCACUUUAAUUUUUAAAAAUCAUACAAUAUAAUUUAAUUUAUAAAAUUUCUAUCAUAUUUCAAAAUUAAAUAAACAAGAUUAAAUAUUGAUACUAAAGUACCAAAAAACUUGGUCAUAUAUAUUUUUAGAGGAAAGUUCUAUGGAGACCGCUAUUUCAUCGAAGACCUCGGAGACCACGUAUAAUCUGCAAUCAAAACACUAUAAAAUAAAUUAUUUUGUAAAAUAUGUUCUACAAAUAUCAUGUAUUCAUUAAAAUUGUUGAAGAUCAUUUAUGUUUAAUAAAUAGAUAAUGUAUGUUCUGCAAGUUUAACAAAUGUUCUGCAAACUAAAUAUAUUUCAUAGAACAAAACAUUUUGUAAUGUUCCACAUGUAAAACUUAUAUGAUAUUUAAGAUUUUAAAUGAAAUAAUGAUUUCAUAGAACAUGAUUUGCAAAACUAUACGUUUUGCAAUGUUUUUAUGAAAUAUUUUACUUGCAGAACAUAUGUGGUCUCCGGGUCUCCGAAAAAAAUGUGGUCUCCGUUGAACUUAACUCUAUAUUUUUAAUAAUAAUUAUUAUUAUUAUCAUUCAGUGUUUUUCAGAAGAUUGCGAUAAAGACGAAUAAGACGGUGGUAACACUGACUUGACAAAUGGAAACUCAAAGAAAAUGAAGUCAUUGUCCAUAUUGCAACAUAUAAUAAAAGAACUGAAACUCUAGACAUACGUCAGAUAUUCGUUUUAAUUUUUAAAACUCAUACAAUUUAAUUUACGAAACAAAAUUAUAAAAUUUCUAUCAUAUUUCAGAAUUAAAAUAAACAAGAUUCAAUAUUGAUACCAAAGUACCUAAAAACUUGGUCAUAUAUAUUUUAAUAAUAAUUAUUAUUAUCAUUCAGUGUUUUUCAGAAGAUUGCGAUAAAGACGAAUAAGGCGGUGGUAACACUGACUUGACAAAUAGAAACUCAAAGAAAAUGAAGUCAUUUUCCAUAUUGCAACAUAUAAUAAAAGAACCGAAACUCUAGACAUACGUCAAAAUAUUUGAUAUCAAAUUACUUUUGGAAAGUUAAUUAAUUUUGUCAAACUACAAUAUUAAUUUAUCAAACAACUACAACAACUGUUAGAUCUACAAAAACACCAACUAGAAUUAUAUAUAAUGUUUGCCUAUUAAAUGAAUAAAAUAAUUGCGACUUAAAAUUUUGAGUUUUUGUUCAAGAUUAAAGAUGCUAUAAACGAACUUAUAUGUGUUGAUCUUGCAUAUUAUUUUCACAAUUUAAAAAUCAUCAAACAACAUAGUAAUUUUACUAAAAUAAAACAUACUUUUAGAGUUAAGUUCCAUAAAAUCUGCAUUUAAGCCGUGGUAAGUACCACUCAUAAUCUUUUAGUUUAAUCAUGAAUAAUAUCCUUAAUUAUUCAAAUUUAUAUAUAAUUUACCAUCUUUAAGUAGUUUUAAAUAUAUAAUUAUCAAUUAAUCAUUGACAUUUUUCAACAUUAACAAUCAUUAAGAUCAUUAUUCUACUUUUGAGUUAUAUUUUAGAACAUAUAUAGUGUUUAGUGAUUUAUAAAAUAAUUGUUUUAUCUUUUGAUUAAAACGAUAAUGUGAUUUAUAAAAAAAUUGUUUUAUCUUUUGAUUGCAACGAUUAUAUUGUGGAACAUAACCUGCAGAUUGUCAAAUGUUUACAAAUAUUGUAGACUAAAAAAAUUAAAAUUUAAACGAGUAGAUUAUUUUUAAAUAAUUUUGGACUCCAAUACUCUUAUUUUGUGGACUUCAUAGAACGGGGACCCAUAUCGUUAUGAUAUAAAUUUAAAGUAGGAUCAAAUUUUAAUAUAUAGAAAGUCCUAUAUUAGAUAACAAUAAUUUAAAUAUCAUUUAAAAACAAUAAUUUAAAUAGAUUUAAUAAAAAUAUGAUAAUGUUAUUAAAAAAAGACAUUAUUCUUCCAAUAAAUAAGAAAUUUUAAAAUUUUUAUUUAAACCCGUGCUUGGCACGGGUUAUCAACUAGUAAAAAACAAGUUAUGAAAGACAUUGAGGGGAUACAAAAGACUAUAAUGUUACUUGCCUGUUUUAUCUCUAGCUACCUCCCUUGUUAUACUAGUUUUGUAAUACACAAUUUUUUUCUGAAUACGUGGGAGGCUCCAAAGAAUAUUUACUGUACAUUUAUAUCCUGCUAGUACUAUUGAGUAUUGACUUGUAUCUUUAUUUAAUAACCUACUAAUAAAAUGUUUUAUGCAAAGCUAAAUGAUGAGACUGUGUGAACGCUUGUG
rnacentral:lncRNA from 1 species